rnacentral:rRNA from 1 species
UACGGAGGGUGCAACCGUUGCUCGGAAUCAUUGGGCGUAAAGCGAACGUAGGCGGCUUUGUAAGUCGGGUGUGAAAGCCCUCGGCUCAACCGAGGAAGUGCAUUCGAAACUGCAUGGCUUGAGUGUCGGAGAGGAUAGCGGAAUUCCCGGUGUAGAGGUGAAAUUCGUAGAUAUCGGGAGGAACACCAGUGGCGAAGGCGGCUAUCAGGACGAACACUGACGCUGAAGUUCGAAAGCGUGGGGAGCAAACAGG